AAGCACAAUAACAUUCGACCUGCCGCCCCCCAAACGACUCAUUCUCCAGUUUGAGUUUGUUGAGCAGAGGCUGUGUAUGUUUUAGUUCUAUAAAGCCGUGUCCAUUAUAACAUUCAGUAAUCAAUUCAUUGCAUGAAGUAUUGCACCAUGCAAUCAAUUGUCAGUUCUAAACAUGUCUUUUCUCUAUGCUUGGGAUGCAUUUCCCUGCAUUUGACAGAGGGUUGGUGGUUGGAGCACAUCUUUGGAGCCGCUGAGCCGGAGGAGCCCGUAUUAAUCCUGCUGUAGGACUCAUUGCAGCCGGCACUGGCAGGUUGAACAAACAACAACCAAAAUGAACGAGGAUGCCCACAAGCCUCACAAGACUCGUCUGAAGGUCCUGGGUACCAGUAAUGAAUGUCGUCACAAGGUGCAGAGCGUUCGAUCUGGCUGCCGGUGGGCAAGGAGACCCCAGCUCCGCAUGACAUAGACUGACCAGGUGAAAGGUAUGAUCCCUUAUUGAUGUCACUUGUUAAAUCCACUUCAAUCAGUGUCGA
rnacentral:lncRNA from 1 species